rnacentral:piRNA from 1 species
UGACAUGGAUUGGAUGGGUGUUUAGGU